UACGUAGGGGGCUAGCGUUGUCCGGAAUCAUUGGGCGUAAAGAGCGCGUAGGCGGCCAGAUAAGUCCGGUGUGAAAGUCACAGGCUCAACCUGUGAAUGCCGCUGGAAACUGUCUGGCUAGAGUCCGGAAGGGGCGAGUGGAAUUCCUGGUGUAGCGGUGAAAUGCGCCAGAUAUCAGGAGGAACACCAAUUGCGAAGGCAGCUCGCUGGGACGUUACUGACGCUGAGACGCGAAGCGUGGGAGCAACAGG
rnacentral:rRNA from 1 species